GAGGAAAUGGCUUGGAGGAAGAGGAGAGAGGAGGAGGAGGAAGAAGAAAGUAGCAUUUGUGCCAGGGGGUGUGUGAGCAGCAGCGGGCGCUUGUGACAACUUCUCUGGCGGCGGCGGUGGCAGCGCGUGUGGCAGGGCUGGCAGCGAGGACGGAGGGAGGGAGGGAGGGAGAGAAGAGAAAGGGGAGGGGGGGGGCUGGUGGAAAGGGGAUGUGUGCGUGCGUCUCUUUCUGAGCCUGCUGCCUGUGCCCAGUGCUGCUGCCUCUGCCUCCGCCACCGCCGCUGCCGCCGCGGCUGCCCCUGCUUCUCUCUGCUCAUUUCCUCUGGUUUUUCAGCCAGAGGUGCUGGAGACUCCAGUCUAUAAAUAGCAGGUUACAGCUCCUUCUACACGCACACACGCGCGCAUCUCUAUACACGCACCCAUGCGCGCACACACAAACACACACAUACACACACACUCCGAAGGAGGAAAGUCAAGCUAAAAGUCUGGUGCUACUGCCUGCCUACACCUCCGGCCGCCGCUGCAAGCCCCCAGCCCCAUCUCCCACUGGAGAGCCAAAGAAAAGAAGCAGAGAAUUGGUCAUCUGGAAUUCUUGA
rnacentral:lncRNA from 1 species